UAGUGUGUGUUCGAGCCUUGAAUGAUCAGGAUCGUGGACGCGGGUCAUCAUCGGCUAGUAUGCGGAGGAAACCGUACACGUAUAGUAGUCUGCGGAAUAAUGAGUGCAAUUAAUUUCUUUUUGCGGUUUCCUUUAUGUCUGAUUACGAAUUGAGAACUGCGGGGUACUCCAGCUUAGAGGAUGAGUCGAAUAAACGGGUCUUUAGACUGUACAGAGUGUCUCAAGACAAGUCUGUCGCGGCGAGCAUCACGAGGUGGAAUCAAGAGGUCCACCUUGAGUGUGUAUUCUGUUUACUCGAUGCGAGGAGGUGGGUAAUACGGAGGAAAUGAAAUACCGAAAUAAAAAAAAGAGAUGAUUUUAUGAGGGAUUAGUGAACUACGUAAAAUAAGAUUGUGGAAUAGGAGUGAAGCUGCUGGAAUGUUGGCAAAUUAAGGAAUGUGUUCAAUGUGUCGAAAAUUAAAGAAUUGAUCGUUGGGCUGGAGCUAUGUUUGAUUGUAGCAACAGUACGGGUUUAGCGAUCCUGAGGUACCCGAGCUACAAGGGGCCAGUGGGCCCCAGCAGACAUGUAAAGAGUGGAAGAAGUUAAGGAUUGAUGUGAAACAAUGGAAAUGUGAUAUGGAAAAAAAGAUAUAUGUGCAAGACUGGUGACUUGUAACAAGAUUUGACCACUAGAUGCAAUAAUCUAUAUAAAACAGAUUACGAACCCUUAUAAAAUAAACAAAUAAUCAAUUUUAUAAAAGGGAAUCUAGCACAUGGACUAGUUGAAAGAUUUCAUGCAUCAGAGAAGAAUGUUUAAUUAUCAUUAUUAUUCCAUAGGCGAUGUAUAUAAGAAUUUUGAUCAAUUUUUGUUUGUUUCGAGGAGAAAUAGUAGUCUGUCCCCUGCAGAUGUUAAAUAUGCAGCGUGUGUAUACGUCGCGUCGUCUUUCAACUAACCUCCACAAUAUUAAUUUAUCAUCAGAGCAAUACGACGCCACGGAGCGUAGAAUGUCGAGACACCGUGUCCAACAGUCUUCGUUACCUAAUUACAGUAACAAGAGUCAAAUGCAAUCGACAGACGUGUUCGUUUUACAAGGCCUCUAGUCCUUUUAAGUGUCGAACAGCAGAAGAUACUACAGUAGACUAACAUUUUAGUAGAUACUACAAUAACUUUGGCGUGAGACAUUGCAAAGUAGUCGUUCUGAAGAAACUAUUCGUGGGACACACUGCUGCUUUAACAUAACAUUAAUUGGGAAUAAAAAUCAGAGAUCAAAAUGGAUAUAAGAAACGAAGAUACGUGAUCAAAUAUUCGGAUAUCAUGGAAGAAACAUGGAAGAGCCGUUCAUUGCACAAAUCGAUUAACUCCAUAAAUUAAAAAGUUGAGAUAUUGUUAUCAAAAUGGUGUCUGAAAUAAAUUAUUUAUUAUUCAAUGACCAACAAAAUUAUUCAGUGAACGGCUCGUAUGCAGGUGUUUUGAUACGAGAAGAAAGAGUCUCCUUACCUGUCUGGCUACUCGAAUUCGUCCAGUGAACCAUGACAGAGCGUUCAUCUUCAGCACAAGGACGCACGACCACCAGGCGUAGACAGCCCACAGUCCUUCAGCUCCGAUUGGAAGUUCGUAAUCCAUUGUUCGAAGCUACUUAA